rnacentral:rRNA from 1 species
ACGGGGUGCAGCAGGCGCGAAAACUUUGCAAUGUGCGAAAGCACGACAAGGUUAAUCCGAGUGGUUUCUGCUAAAGGAACCUUUUGUUAGUCAUAGAACCACUAAUGAAUAAGGGGUGGGCAAGUUCUGGUGUCAGCCGCCGCGGUAAAACCAGCACCUCAAGUGGUCAGGAUGAUUAUUGGGCCUAAAGCAUCCGUAGCCUGCUUUGUAAGUUUUCGGUUAAAUCCAUACGCUCAACGUAUGGGCUGCCGGGAAUACUACAAAGCUAGGGAGUGGGAGAGGUAGACGGUACUCGGUAGGAAGGGGUAAAAUCCUUUGAUCUAUUGAUGACCACCUGUGGCGAAGGCGGUCUACCAGAACACGUCCGACGGUGAGGGAUGAAAGCUGGGGGAGCAAACCGGAUUAGAUACCCGGGUAGUCCCAGCUGUAAACUAUGCAAACUAGGUGAUGCAUUGGCUUGAUGCCAAUGCAGUGCCUCAGGAAGCCGUUAAGUUUGCCGCCUGGAAGUACGUACGCAAGUA